rnacentral:rRNA from 1 species
AUUGAACGCUGGCGGCAGGCCUAACACAUGCAAGUCGAGCGGAUGAAGGGAGCUUGCUCCUGGAUUCAGCGGCGGACGGGUGAGUAAUGCCUAGGAAUCUGCCUGGUAGUGGGGGAUAACGUCCGGAAACGGGCGCUAAUACCGCAUACGUCCUGAGGGAGAAAGUGGGGGAUCUUCGGACCUCACGCUAUCAGAUGAGCCUAGGUCGGAUUAGCUAGUUGGUGGGGUAAAGGCCUACCAAGGCGACGAUCCGUAACUGGUCUGAGAGGAUGAUCAGUCACACGGGAAUUGAGACACGGUCCAGACUCCUACGGGAGGCAGCAGGGGGGAAUAUUGGACAAGGGGCGAAAGCCUGAUCCAGCCAUGCGGGGUGUGUGAAGAAGGUCUUGGGAUUGUAAAGCUUUUUAAGUUGGGAGGAAGGGCAGUAAGUUAAUACCUUGUUGUUUUGACGUUCCCAAAAAAAAAAGCCCCGGCUAACUUCGUG